rnacentral:rRNA from 1 species
UACAGAGGGGGCAAGCGUUGUUCGGAAUUACUGGGCGUAAAGGGCGCGUAGGCGGCCUUCUAAGUCGAACGUGAAAUCCCUGGGCUCAACCCAGGAACUGCGUCCGAUACUGGAAGGCUUGAAUCCGGGAGAGGGAUGCGGAAUUCCAGGUGUAGCGGUGAAAUGCGUAGAUAUCUGGAGGAACACCGGUGGCGAAGGCGGCAUCCUGGACCGGUAUUGACGCUGAGGCGCGAAAGCGUGGGGAGCAAACGGG